GAUGAACGCUGGCGGCGUGCCUAAUACAUGCAAGUCGAGCGAACAGAUGAGGAGCUUGCUCCUCUGACGUUAGCGGCGGACGGGUGAGUAACACGUGGAUAACCUACCUAUAAGACUGGGAUAACUGCGGGAAACCGGAUCUAAUACCGGAUAAUAUAUUGAACCGCAUGGUUCAAUAGUGAAAGACGGUUUUGCUGUCACUUAUAGCUUGAUCCGCGCCUGAUUAGCUAGUUGGUAAGGUAACGGCUUACCAAGGCAACGAUGCGUAGCCGACCUGUGCGGGUGUAGGGCCACAGUGGAACUGAGAGACGGUCCAGACUCCGAGGGGAGGCAGCGGCAGGGAAGCGUCGGAGAUGGGCGGAAGCUUGCAGGAGCAACGCCGCGCGAGUGAUGAAGGGCUGCGGGUCGGAAAACUGUGUUAUUAGGGAAGAACAAAUGUGUAAGUAACUAUGCACGUCUUGACGGUACCUAAUCAGAAAGCCACGGCUAACUACGUG
rnacentral:rRNA from 1 species